rnacentral:rRNA from 1 species
GACGAACGCUGGCGGCGUGCCUAAUACAUGCAAGUCGAACGAACUCUGGUAUUGAUUGGUGCUUGCAUCAUGAUUUACAUUUGAGUGAGUGGCGAACUGGUGAGUAACACGUGGGAAACCUGCCCAGAAGCGGGGGAUAACACCUGGAAACAGAUGCUAAUACCGCAUAACAACGUGGACCGCAUGGUCCGAGUUUGAAAGAUGGUUUCGACUAUCACUUCUGGAUGGCCCCGCGGCGUAUUAGCUAGAUGGUGGGGUAACGGCUCACCAUGGCAAUGAUACGUAGCCGACCUGAGAGGGUAAUCGGCCACAUUGGGACUGAGACACGGCCCAAACUCCUACGGGAGGCAGCAGUAGGGAAUCUUCCACAAUGGACGAAAGUCUGAUGGAGCAACGCCGCGUGAGUGAAGAAGGGUUUCGGCUCGUAAAACUCUGUUGUUAAAGAAGAACAUAUCUGAGAGUAACUGUUCAGGUAUUGACGGUAUUUAACCAGAAAGCCACGGCUAACUACGUGCCAGCAGCCGCGGUAAUACGUAGGUGGCAAGCGUUGUCCGGAUUUAUUGGGCGUAAAGCGAGCGCAGGCGGUUUUUUAAGUCUGAUGUGAAAGCCUUCGGCUCAACCGAAGAAGUGCAUCGGAAACUGGGAAACUUGAGUGCAGAAGAGGACAGUGGAACUCCAUGUGUAGCGGUGAAAUGCGUAGAUAUAUGGAAGAACACCAGUGGCGAAGGCGGCUGUCUGGUCUGUAACUGACGCUGAGGCUCGAAAGUAUGGGUAGCAAACAGGAUUAGAUACCCUGGUAGUCCAUACCGUAAACGAUGAAUGCUAAGUGUUGGAGGGUUUCCGCCCUUCAGUGCUGCAGCUAACGCAUUAAGCAUUCCGCCUGGGGAGUACGGCCGCAAGGCUGAAACUCAAAGGAAUUGACGGGGGCCCGCACAAGCGGUGGAGCAUGUGGUUUAAUUCGAAGCUACGCGAAGAACCUUACCAGGUCUUGACAUACUAUGCAAAUCUAAGAGAUUAGACAUUCCCUUCGGGGACAUGGAUACAGGUGGUGCAUGGUUGUCGUCAGCUCGUGUCGUGAGAUGUUGGGUUAAGUCCCGCAACGAGCGCAACCCUUAUUAUCAGUUGCCAGCAUUAAGUUGGGCACUCUGGUGAGACUGCCGGUGACAAACCGGAGGAAGGUGGGGAUGACGUCAAAUCAUCAUGCCCCUUAUGACCUGGGCUACACACGUGCUACAAUGGAUGGUACAACGAGUUGCGGACUCGCGAGAGUAAGCUAAUCUCUUAAAGCCAUUCUCAGUUCGGAUUGUAGGCUGCAACUCGCCUACAUGAAGUCGGAAUCGCUAGUAAUCGCGGAUCAGCAUGCCGCGGUGAAUACGUCCCCGGGCCUUGUACACACCGCCCGUCACACCAUGAGAGUUUGUAACACCCAAAGUCGGGGGGGUAACCUUUUAGGAACCAGCCGCCUAAGGUGGGACAGAUGAUUAGGGUGAAGUCGUAACAAGGUAGCCGUAGGAGAACC